CCUACGGGGGGCUGCAGUGAGGAAUAUUGGUCAAUGGACGAGAGUCUGAACCAGCCAAGUAGCGUGAAGGAUGACUGCCCUAUGGGUUGUAAACUUCUUUUAUAUGGGAAUAAAAUGUUCCACGUGUGGGAUUUUGUAUGUACCAUAUGAAUAAGGAUCGGCUAACUCCGUGCCAGCAGCCGCGGUAAUACGGAGGAUCCGAGCGUUAUCCGGAUUUAUUGGGUUUAAAGGGAGCGUAGGUGGAUUGUUAAGUCAGUUGUGAAAGUUUGCGGCUCAACCGUAAAAUUGCAGUUGAAACUGGCAGUCUUGAGUAUAGUAGAGGUGGGCGGAAUGCGUGGUGUAGCGGUGAAAUGCUUAGAUAUCACGAAGAACUCCGAUUGCGAAGGCAGUUCACUGGACUGCAACUGACACUGAGGCUCGAAAGUGUGGGUAUCAAACAGGAUUAGAUACCCUUGUAGUC
rnacentral:rRNA from 1 species